rnacentral:rRNA from 1 species
GACGAACGCUGGCGGCGUGCUUAACACAUGCAAGUCGAACGGAAAGGCCCUGCUUUUGUGGGGUGCUCGAGUGGCGAACGGGUGAGUAACACGUGAGUAACCUGCCCUUGACUUUGGGAUAACUUCAGGAAACUGGGGCUAAUACCGGAUAGGAGCUCCUGCUGCAUGGUGGGGGUUGGAAAGUUUCGGCGGUUGGGGAUGGACUCGCGGCUUAUCAGCUUGUUGGUGGGGUAGUGGCUUACCAAGGCUUUGACGGGUAGCCGGCCUGAGAGGGUGACCGGCCACAUUGGGACUGAGAUACGGCCCAGACUCCUACGGGAGGCAGCAGUGGGGAAUAUUGCACAAUGGGCGGAAGCCUGAUGCAGCAACGCCGCGUGCGGGAUGGCGGCCUUCGGGUUGUAAGCCGCUUUCGCCUGUGACGAAGCGUGAGUGACGGUAAUGGGUAAAGAAGCACCGGCUAACUACGUG